rnacentral:snRNA from 1 species
AUACUUAUUUGGCAGGGGAGAUACAAUGAUCACGAAGGUGGUUUUCCAAGGACAAGGCACUCCAGAUAUGCUGACCCCUGUGAUUUCCCCAAAUGUUGGAAAUUCAACUGCAUAAAUUGUGAUAAUGGGGGACUGUGUUUACGCUCUCCCCUG